AAGUAUUGUUAUAGGUAAAUAUUAAAAGUUUUGGCUUUCCAAAUUUAUUGUUCUAAAAUGCAGAGAAAGUUAAAGAAAAUAGCAAUACUAUUAAUUAUCACAACUUUUUGGAUUUAUCCGAGUUUACAAACAAAAAAAGUGACAAAAAGAAGAAUACUUUACAAUCCAAUGGAAUAUCGGUUUAUAAAUGAUUAUAUAAUAUCGCCUUCCGAAAGGUUUUGUCAAAAAAGCCCAUUUAUAAUCAUCAUAGUGACGUCGUAUGUCGGUGAUAUUGAGCUACGAAACAUUUUACGCAGAGUUAUGCCACAAGAAAAGCUGGAGUCAAUGGAUGCUGCGAGAAUUUUUUUACUGGCAGAAAUUCCACCGAAUGAAAAGAAUAUUACCCAAAGUCUAAUAGAAGAGGAAAACCAAAAAUUCCAAGAUAUUCUCCAAGGGGCAUUUACAGAAAGCUACCGCAACUUGUCAAUUAAACAUUUAAUGGGCUUACAAUGGGUCACAACGAAAUGUCCUAAUGC